rnacentral:lncRNA from 1 species
CAUGGCAUGCAAUCUUUCUCUACUUGAAAUUUAAUCAAAAGUUCAUUUCGUCUUAAAAUUCAAUAAAAAUUUAUGCUAUUAAAAGCCUAACUUAAAGAUUCACUUACUUCCAAAAUUUCACAAUAAUUUAAUUAGAAAGCACUAAGAAAUAGCUUUUCAAAGAAGAAUGAUAUAAACUGCAAGGUAGCCAAUCCUGUCCCCCCCUUCACAUUCAAAAUUCUAAAAAAACUUUGUUCUUACUCCAAAUCAAGAAAUCCUCAUCUUGUUGGAAAACUUAUACCAAAAGCUAUAACCACAAAAUUCAUAGAAUUGAAUGACUAAU